rnacentral:rRNA from 1 species
AUACGGAGGAUGCGAGCGUUAUCCGGAUUUAUUGGGUUUAAAGAGAGCGUAGGUGGGAUAUUAAGUCAGCUGUGAAAGUUUGGGGCUCAACCUUAAAAUUGCAGUUGAUACUGGUUUCCUUGAGUACGGUAUAGGUGGGCGGAAUUCGUGGUGUAGCGGUGAAAUGCUUAGAUAUCACGAAGAACUCCGAUCGCGAAGGCAGCUCACCGGGCCGGAACUGACACUGAUGCUCGAAAGUGCGGGUAUCAAACAGGAUUAGAUACCCUGGUAGUCCGCACAGUAAACGAUGAAUACUCGCUGUUUGCGAUACACUGUAAGCGGCCAAGCGAAAGCGUUAAGUAUUCCACCUGGGGAGUACGCCGGCAACGGUGAAACUCAAAUGAAUUGACGGGG